rnacentral:rRNA from 1 species
UACGUAGGGGGCAAGCGUUGUCCGGAUUUAUUGGGCGUAAAGGGCGCGUAGGCGGUUUCUUAAGUUUUGGAGUGACAGUGGGUGGCUUAACUACCCAAGGCCUCUGAAAAACUGGGGAACUUGAGGACCAGAGAGGGACAUAGAAUUCCGGGUGGAGUGGUGAAAUGCGUAGAUAUCCGGAGGAAUACCAAAGGCGAAGGCAGUGUCCUGGAGGGUGACUGACGCUGAGGCGCGAAAGCUAGGGGAGCGAACAGG